UGUAGCUCACUACGUGAUUUGGAGCAGCGUGCGGGCCGUUUCCAGAGCUCUCCUCGGAUACGUGCACCUCGUGGGACGCUCAGAGUGUUCUUCCAGUUUCGUGAUCCUCAUGGAUGAGGGCGGCUCGGCUUUGCCUUUAGCUCCCGUUCGGACACUUCUCUACGCCGAUGAACCGUCGACGAGUUCUCGACGAACCUCCAUUCCUCGUGUCACACUUUGUGCCGAUUUCCCUCGGUCUCCGGCGCGGAGCUCGACUGCUGCUGAAAAAGCUGGACCAGCGAGCCGUCCACCAGAAGGCAACGCCCCGCGUCCGCCCAUUCCCAGACUCGUCGCCACGCUGUGUACCAGUAUCGUCGAUCCCGCCGGGUCAGACGCGCCGCCACUGCUCUUCCCCACUUCGUCGUACCACCCAGAAGACCCAACAAUUACGACAGGCAGCCUCCUUUUUCCGAGCAACCUACCCACAUGCCGUACCUUGGCUGUCCUCCUCCGGCUUCGAGUGACCCAGAUCGUAUUGGGCAUCGUGACCAUCGUGCUUGGUGCCUCCGCUUGCUUGGAUCAGCAGGCCAGGGAUAUGCUGUGCUUCGGCGUUCCAGCGGGAUGUCUGACUGUCCUUGCUGCGUGCGGGCACGUACGCGGUACGAGAAGGGACGGGCCUGUGUCUGUGGACAGUCGGAUCUUUUGUCCAGGGUUAAGCGUUCUGUGUCUGGCGGUCGUGAGCGUUGUGGCGAAUGGAUUUCUGGUAGCGUUGUCGCUGUUGGCAGCGGGAAAAGCGACUUCCACAGCGAAUGUUAGAACUUUGGCUGUGUUGCUGACGUGUUCGGCGUUGCCCGUGCUCAUCGUCGAAAUGGCGGCAGCGCUGGUGAGGUGGAUGUGGACGCGAGGGAAAGUGGCGGAUAGAUGAUGCUCGGCGAAGUGAUGGCAUAUUAAAGCCUGCAGAGAUCAAGGUGACGCUUCAACUGUCCUCCUUCAGCGUAACCAGUCUAUGGAGCAGCGAUGACUUCCGGCACACUGGUUGGCGAAGAUCGUGUUAUGCUCUGAACGUGUGUUUUUCUAAUCUACGGAUGCCGAACUCUUGGCUCUAUUAUACGCAGCGGCUGCGAUCCAACUGCGUGGAAUAUCUAACGCAGUUCUACUCACACACUGCAUUGAGCAGCUUGUGGAAGGUGAUGAACCCCAUCUGCGAUAACAUCUUAUUGUGGUGUAUCAGAAGGUGCGGUGCGCCCAGCAUAAAAUCAUCGGAAGUGGUCUUAAUUAAUUAAUGGCGUAUAAGCGUGCUGGGGUAGCCAGUUCGACUUCGUCGAAACCCACAUCCCCAUUUUUCUUUAUCACAUCACCAUCACCAUCCAAUGGAUCCCGUCUCAUGUCCGUAUCAACGGCAACGGAAGAGUGUACCGGAUAGUGUCCUCAGCAAACCUGUGCUGCGGCCCUUGCUUACCGAUUCCGGACGCCAACAACAGAUAAAGUGACCGUUAAGCAGCUAGUUGAAGUGUGUCACCCUGGGGUACUGGACGUCAUGCGUUGUGCGUUUUAGGUUCGUUUUCUUGCUGUACAAAAAUAAAGUUUUCCAUGGAGACGUGCAAAAAAAAA